rnacentral:rRNA from 1 species
CGGCAGGCUUCAUACAUGCAAGUCGAGGGGCAGCAUAAAUUACUUGUAAUUUGAUGGCGACCGGCGAACGGGUGCGUAACGCGUAUGCAACUUACCUUUUACUAGAGAAUAGCCAAGAGAAAUUUUGAUUAAUGCUCUAUGUUCUUAUUUACUCGCAUGAGUAAAUAAGCAAAGCUCCGGCGGUAAAAGAUGGGCAUGCGUCCUAUUAUGCUUGUAGGUGAGGUAAUGGCUCACCUAAGCUCCGAUAGGUAGGGGUCCUGAGAGGGAGAUCCCCCACACUGGUACUGAGACACGGACCAGACUUCUACGGAAGGCAGCAGUAAGGAAUAUUGGACAAUGGAGGCAACUCUGAUCCAGCCAUGCCGCGUGAAGGAAGACGGCCUUAUGGGUUGUAAACUUCUUUUAUACAGGAAGAAACCUUUCCACGUGUGGAAAGUUGACGGUACUGUAAGAAUAAGGAUCGGCUAACUCCGUGCCAGCAGCCGCGGUAAUACGGAGGAUCCAAGCGUUAUCCGGAAUUAUUGGGUUUAAAGGGUCCGCAGGCUGUUUGUUAAGUCAGAGGUGAAAUCCUACCGCUCAACGGUAGAACUGCCUUUGAUACUGGCAAACUUGAGUUAUUGUGAAGUACUUAGAAUGUGUA